UUCGUUUAAAUUAUGAAAACUUUUAUUUAUUCUUCAUUUACUGCAAUGCACAUAGCUUUAGUGUAACAACUGUUAGUACAGCACAGUUUUUGAACCACUAAGGCAAAAUUCAAAGAUAUUUUGCAUAUUAUUCUCUGAUCCAGUCUUUCUAUCAACCACUUUUUUCUGUCCCCACUACAUCAAAAUUUAUACCAGCCAAAACACCAAUCGCACACAAUUAUUUUUGGUUUUUACGCGAGAAGACAAAUUCACAUUUUCUGAAUCAGUCUAAGGACAGGUAUGAUCUGGUUGUCCAAACUAUUAAAAUAAUCCUAGUGACCCUACGAUGAAGAUCCCUAGACUAGAAAGCGUCGCAUGCUAAGGAUAUCCUAGACGUUAGGGUAAAAAUUAACUAAUUAACCCCCCCCCACAAGCGGUAUGAAAAAGCAAUAAUCCGUUUAAUGAUGGGAAUAGAUAUACGACGGAAACGUAUAGGAUACCUUAUGCCAAAUAUGCUAAAGGUUAGCUGAUUACAAGGCAAGAGGUCAUAUUGUCCGGAAUUGACCAAAAACUGUCCAAUUUCCUCGAUAAGGAAAGGAAACGAUAUAAAAAAUAUUUGGAUAACGUCAUGAUGAAGUUGGAACACCCCCUCACGUGUGGAGCUUUGUGCAGGUCUGCAGGUCUUUCCACCGGGCAACACAAUGUAGAAAUUUAGCUAAGAUCCAUGCUUCUUGCAGGAAUUGGAGGAAUAUCGCAGUGGGGAAUUUACGAAAAAUCUAGGUUCAUAGCGCACAGCUGUGUCGGCAACACGAUAACAAUCCGCAAUGAGGAGAAGAAUGAGGAGGCGCUAUUUGCGACACAAAAUAUUCCCUCUGGAACCGUUUUGACGAAACGAUUCGACUACGAGACCAUUAUGUGGAUGGGAAUCGUUGAGAGGAGGGCUCACUUGAAUAAAAAAUUCGACUUUUGGUGCAAUUGUGAAAAAUGCAAGGAACCCUAUGAUGAGUUGGGAACAUAUUGUCGUCUUCAAUUUUUCGUUGCCGCAGGAGGAAAAUAUUGUCAAGUACACAUAAUACAUGCAUUCUACUUGUAAUUUAACUAGCUUUUUAAUGGAACAAAAAUAAAUUUGAAAUUUCUUAAAA